AGAAGUAUUUCGGUAUGUAAAGCUCUAUCAGCAGGGAAGAAAAUGACGGUACCUGACUAAGAAGCACCGGCUAAAUACGUGCCAGCAGCCGCGGUAAUACGUAUGGUGCAAGCGUUAUCCGGAUUUACUGGGUGUAAAGGGAGCGCAGGCGGUACGGCAAGUCUGAUGUGAAAUCCCGGGGCUCAACCCCGGUACUGCAUUGGAAACUGUCGGACUAGAGUGUCGGAGGGGUAAGUGGAAUUCCUAGUGUAGCGGUGAAAUGCGUAGAUAUUAGGAGGAACACCAGUGGCGAAGGCGGCUUACUGGACGAUUA
rnacentral:rRNA from 1 species